rnacentral:lncRNA from 1 species
AAUCCCAGCCACAACCACACAAGAAUUUCUAACUUGAAAUCUUUAAACCAUAAAAAAUGUUAAAUAUAAACGAAUCUCCUCACAAAGGCCUAAAACCCAAGGUUGAGAAGCUAAACCAAAACAAGAAUUGUAGAAGUUAGAGGUAGAAGAUGAAGGGAAAUUUCAUUUGCAUUGUCAAAACAAAAUAAAACCGAUUUUUUUAAGUUUG